rnacentral:SRP_RNA from 1 species
GUGGGGUGCAGUGGCAGGCCUGUAGUUCCAGCUACUUGGGAGAUGGGGACAGGGGACAGGAGGAUAGCUUGCAUGUAGGGGUUCUGGGAUGUAGUGCACUAUGGUCACUUGGUGUCCACACUGAGUUCAGCAUCAGUAUGGUGACCUCCCAGUAGUAGGGGACCACCUGGUUGCCUAAGGAGGAGUGAACUGGCCCAGGUCAGAAACAGAGCAGGUCAAAACUCCCAUGCUGAUCAGUAGUGGGAUUGCACCUGUAGUCAGGUCCCACAUAGUUGCACCUGACUAUGACUAUAUUGCACUCAUAGUCAACAUAGUCAGAACCUGUCUCC